rnacentral:misc_RNA from 1 species
GAUGAAGAACGUAGCGAAAUGCGAUAAGUAAUGUGAAUUGCAGAAUUCAGUGAAUCAUCGAAUCUUUGAACGCACCUUGCGCCCUUUGGCCAUUCCGAAGGGCAUGCCUGUUUGAGUAUCAUGAACACCUCAACUCUUCAUGGUUUUCCGUGAUGAGCUUGGACUUUGGGGGUCUUGCUGGCCUAUGGUCAGCUCCUCUAGAAUAAAUCAGCUUGCCAGUGUUUGGUGGGUAUCACAGGUGUGAUAACUAUCUACGCUUGUGGUUUUCCACCAGGUAACCUUCAGCAGUGGAGGUUCGCUGGAGCUCACAGAUGUGUCUCUCCUCAGUGAGGACAGCUCUUUGAAUGUUUGAUCUCAAAUCAGGUAGGACUACCCGCUGAACUUAAGCAUAUCAAUAAGCGGAGGA